UACGUAGGUGGCGAGCGUUGUCCGGAAUUACUGGGUGUAAAGGGCGUGUAGGCGGGAAUACAAGUCAGAUGUGAAAUACCGUAGCUUAACUACGGGGGCUGCAUCUGAAACUGUGUUUCUUGAGUGUCGGAGAGGAAAGUGGAAUUCCCAGUGUAGCGGUGAAAUGCGUAGAUAUUGGGAGGAACACCAGUGGCGAAGGCGACUUUCUGGACGAUAACUGACGCUGAGGCGCGAAAAGCGUGGGGAGCAAACAGG
rnacentral:rRNA from 1 species